AAAUAUGUUUCCUUUCUUUUCUUUUCUCUAGCCAAUGGAGAGUGAUUCAGCAUGGCAUGAAAAAUAACCUCACAUUCGAGCAGCUCUCCAUGCUGUGUCUGAAGAUUGUUAAGGUCGUGACCCAGACAGCCCUCCGCAUUCUCCUACCAGCGCUAGCUCGUAUCAUGGGUGUGGACCUGAGGAGUGGGGCAGCCUCCCCAGAAUCCCAGUGCUCUCUGACAGGGUCUGAGGAUUCCUUAGGCAGUCUGGAUGAGCGAGAGAAAAGGCUGCUGAUCAAUGAGAUGAACUACUGGACUAAGGAGAGGAGGAGGAAUGGCAGUGCAGGGUGCCGCCAAAAAUCCACUCGCAGAACCUCAUCACCAUGCUGGUCGCCUAAGAGCGUUCCAAGAGAGGAAACAAAAAGGACUGCCAUUCAGUCCAGGAACAGACUGAGAUUCCCUCUACUGAUGGACAUUGCAUAGCUCCACACAUUGAGGCUCAUGGUGCUGAAUCUCCAGUUGGAGAGGUUUCUCCCUCCAUAUCUCAGCCUAUCAAAAAACGAUCCUUGAUUGUCAGGGUCUUUUCAGCAAUGAUGAAGCCAUUCAGGCGCUUCACCAAGAAGAACCUGUAACCUGUUACGCUGCAUGAAGAACUACUUUUGUAACAGCAAGACUUUUGACAAGAG
ensembl:lncRNA